rnacentral:rRNA from 1 species
AGUGAACGCUGGCGGUAGGCCUAGCACAUGCAAGUCGGACGGCAGCACAGUAAGAGCUUGCUCUUACGGGUGGCGAGUGGCGGACGGGUGAGGAAUACAUCGGAAUCUACUUUUUCGUGGGGGAUAACGUAGGGAAACUUACGCUAAUACCGCAUACGACCUACGGGUGAAAGCAGGGGAUCUUCGGACCUUGCGCGAUUGAAUGAGCCGAUGUCGGAUUAGCUAGUUGGCGGGGUAAAGGCCCACCAAGGCGACGAUCCGUAGCUGGUCUGAGAGAAUGAUCAGCCACACUAGAACUGAGACACGGUCCAGACUCCUACGGGAGGCAGCAGUGGGGAAUAUUGGAAAAUGGGCGCAAGCCUGAUCCAGCCAUGCCGCGUGGGUGAAGAAGGCCUUCGGGUUGUAAAGCCCUUUUGUUGGGAAAGAAAAGCAGCAGGUUAAUACCCCGCUGUUCUGACGGUACCCGAAGAAUAGGCACAGGAUAACUUCGUG